rnacentral:rRNA from 1 species
GACGUAGGGCGCGAGCGUUGUCCGGAUUUAUUGGGCGUAAAGAGCUCGUAGGCGGCUUGUUGCGUCGACCGUGAAAACCCGGGGCUCAACUUCGGGCUUGCGGUCGAUACGGGCGGGCUAGAGUUCGGUAGGGGAGACUGGAAUUCCUGGUGUAGCGGUGAAAUGCGCAGAUAUCAGGAGGAACACCAGUGGCGAAGGCGGCUCACUGGCCCGGUACUGACGCUGAGGUGCGAAAGCGUGGGGAGCAAACAGG